rnacentral:rRNA from 1 species
GUAUAAGCAAUUAUACAGCGAAACUGCGAAUGGCUCAUUAUAUAAGUUAUCGUUUAUUUGAUAGUACCUUACUACUUGGAUAACCGUGGUAAUUCUAGAGCUAAUACAUGCUAAAAAUCCCGACUUCGGAAGGGAUGUAUUUAUUAGAUUAAAAACCAAUGCCCUCUGGGCUCUCUGGUGAUUCAUGAUAACUUCUCGAAUCGCAUGGCCUUGCGCCGGCGAUGGUUCAUUCAAAUUUCUUCCCUAUCAACUUUCGAUGUUUGGGUAUUGGCCAAACAUGGUCGCAACGGGUAACGGAGGGUUAGGGCUCGACCCCGGAGAAGGAGCCUGAGAAACGGCUACUACAUCCAAGGAAGGCAGCAGGCGCGCAAAUUACCCAAUCCCGACACGGGGAGGUAGUGACAAUAAAUACUGAUACAGGGCUCUUUCGGGUCUUGUAAUUGGAAUGAGUACAAUUUAAAUCCCUUAACGAGGAACAAUUGGAGGGCAAGUCUGGUGCCAGCAGCCGCGGUAAUUCCAGCUCCAAUAGCGUAUAUUAAAGUUGUUGUGGUUAAAAAGCUCGUAGUUGAACCUUGGGCCUGGCUGGCCGGUCCGCCUCACCGCGUGUACUGGUCCGGCCGGGCCUUUCCCUCUGUGGAACCUCAUGCCCUUCACUGGGCGUGACGGGGAAACAGGACUUUUACUGUGAAAAAAUUAGAGUGCUCCAGGCAGGCCUAUGCUCGAAUACAUUAGCAUGGAAUAAUGAAAUAGGACGUGCGGUUCUAUUUUGUUGGUUUCUAGGACCGCCGUAAUGAUUAAUAGGGACAGUCGGGGGCAUCAGUAUUCAAUUGUCAGAGGUGAAAUUCUUGGAUUUAUUGAAGACUAACUACUGCGAAAGCAUUUGCCAAGGAUGUUUUCAUUAAUCAGGAACGAAAGUUAGGGGAUCGAAGACGAUCAGAUACCGUCGUAGUCUUAACCAUAAACUAUGCCGACUAGGGAUCGGACGAUGUAAAUAAUUGACUCGUUCGGCACCUUACGAGAAAUCAAAG